rnacentral:lncRNA from 1 species
UCAAAGUUGGACACGGACACUGCUAAAAAAAUUUCUGGGUUCGGUAAUUUGACAGUUACGGUCAACGGGUUUUGACCGGCUAUAACUUCCGAUCUACAAUUGAUCUGGCCUUGAUUCUUUUUGCAUCUUAAAGAGCACAUUACAGACUACAUGUUACAACCUUUAAACAUCAAAAACAGUAAACACACACGGAUUCAUAGGAUCUGACAUUUGGCUGUAAAACGAAAAUUUUCCCAUUUCCAGAUUUGCUAAAAAUUCAAAAUCAUGAACAUUGAUGUUAUGGGUCAUGGAUUUAACAACCCAGAAUAUCAAUUGACACCCUAUUACACAACUUUCAACAAUCAAUUGCAACAUUUAACAACAAAUCGAAGGAUUUCUAGAAUUAGGGUUUUUAUUCCUUUAUGCUUUGAUUUUUGAUCUUAGCUCUCCAAGUUGUUUGUGAUUAAUCUAGGCUGGUAUUGGGAACUGAAAUACUUGCAAUUUUUCGGAGGUUUGGUGAGAGAGUGAGUUGGUGAGAGCAAAAUUGAAUUUGGCAAAGUUUUUGUGCAUUUUCUCUCUCUCAAUAUAUAUAUAUUGCUUAAUUCAUUGAAUGAGCUGAUUGGCUGCCAUGUAGUACUGAUUUGCUGAGAUUUUAUGAGCCACAAUGUCAAUGGAGUUGGUGAACCACUAAAGAUUUGGCCAUUUCUACAAUUAAUCUAAUAAAAAUCCCAUAAAGGGCAAUUUUGUCAUUUGCAAUUUAAAUUAAAUGGUAAACAUGGAAUUUG